UACGGAGGGGACUAGCGUUGUUCGGAAUUACUGGGCGUAAAGCGCGCGUAGGCGGACUAUUAAGUCAGGGGUGAAAUCCCGGGGCUCAACCCCGGACCUGCCCUUGAUACUGGUAGUCUGGAGCUCUGGAGAGGUGAGUGGAAUUCCGAGGGUAGAGGUGAAAUUCGUAGAUAUUCGGAGGAACACCAGUGGCGACGGCGGCUCACUGGCCAGAUACUGGCGCUGAGGUGAUAAAGUGUGGGGAGCGAACAGG
rnacentral:misc_RNA from 1 species